UCUUUAUUGCUGCUAUAUUUUGACUAUACAAAGGUAUUGAAAUAAGAUUUUAAUUGAAUGCUAAGAGAAUGGAAGUCCAGAAAAAAACUUUUUUUAAAUUAAAAAUUGAAGUUUUUUUAAUUUGUGCAGAAACAAUUAUUUAUAUUAAAGACAAGAAGACCCUAUGAAUUUAUUAAAUUUUUAUUUAAUAUGUAAUUACUAUUAGAAAAAUUUUGGCUGGGGCGGCUAGAAAAUAUUAUGAACUUUUUAAAAAUAAAAUGAUCCAUUAUUAAUGAUUUUAUGUUAAAUACUCUAGGGAUAACAGCGUUAUAUUUUUUGAUAGAUCAUAUUGACAAAAAAGUUUGCGACCUCGAUGUUGGAUUAGGAUACUUUUUUAAUGAAGAUAUAAAAAAAAGAAGUUUGUUCAACUUUUAAUUUCCUACUUGAUCGGAGUUCAAAAAAGCACGACCCACAGAAAACCUUCAGCGCACCUCCCUCCGUACAAUAAACAGAGAGAAGUACCCAAUGCGAUGCAGCCGCCCACUCUAAGGGCGCUGGGCCUUGCAAAGG
rnacentral:rRNA from 1 species